rnacentral:rRNA from 1 species
UGGGGAUUAUUGGACAAUGGGCGAAAGCCUGAUCCAGCCAUGCCGCGUGUGUGAAGAAGGUCUUCGGAUUGUAAAGCACUUUAAGUUGGGAGGAAGGGCAGUAAGCGAAUACCUUGCUGUUUUGACGUUACCGACAGAAUAAGCACCGGCUAACUCUGUGCCAGCAGCCGCGGUAAUACAGAGGGUGCAAGCGUUAAUCGGAAUUACUGGGCGUAAAGCGCGCGUAGGUGGUUCGUUAAGUUGAAUGUGAAAGCCCCGGGCUCAACCUGGGAACUGCAUCCAAAACUGGCGGGCUAGAGUAGGGCAGAGGGUGGUGGAAUUUCCUGUGUAGCGGUGAAAUGCGUAGAUAUAGGAAGGAACACCAGUGGCGAAGGCGACCACCUGGGCUCAUACUGACACUGAGGUGCGAAAGCGUGGGGAGCAAACAGG